UACGGAAGGUGCAAGCGUUGUUCGGAUUGACUGGGCGUAAAGCGCACGUAGGCGGGUCCGCAAGUCGGAUGUGAAAGCCCUGGGCUCAACCUGGGAACUGCAUCCGAAACUGUGGAUCUUGAAUGCUCGAGAGGUUGGUAGAAUUCCAGGUGUAGGAGUGAAAUCCGUAGAUAUCUGGAGGAAGACCAGAGGCGAAGGCGGCCAACUGGCGAUGCAUUGACGCUGAGGUGCGAAAGCGUGGGGAGCAAAC
rnacentral:rRNA from 1 species